AUCCUUUCGCAGUGACAGUAUGAGGUUUAUCCGAGGCGUGAUUAUUGAUAAUUGAAAAUUUUACCCAAUACCCCACCUUGACGACUUGCAAUAUAGUUGUUAAAGGCAAUUUUUGAUGGUCUCUAAGGAGA
ensembl:snRNA U4 U4 spliceosomal RNA